UUUAAAAGCAUCUCAGGAACUCCCGAGAGCUCUCCGCGUCGCUCGCUGUGACUUUCCUGCUGUCUUUCAUCCGUUGGACAUGAUGCUGGUUAUAUCUGUAUUACUCUCUCACAGAUGGAUUGUAAAAUGCUCCUUUCCUGUCUUUUGGUAAAUUCAAAAUCCUGGGGGGACCUAAUGCACAUUUCAGCAGGAGCAAUAGAACAUAUUGCAUUUCAUUCCCUCUUGGAGAGAAUACUCUACGUAAACUAUAUGAAAAUAAGAAUUUUGUUGUUGAAAUUAACAUAAAAUAUAUUUUUAAUGUGCCGCCCUCUAUUUGAACUUCAACCUGCCGUUUAAAUGUCACACUGCAGUGAUGUCUUGCGCUCAUAUCCCUGUGUCUAUUUGUUAGAAGGAAGGUCGAUGAUCACUUUUACCUUAUUUAUAGGUAAUAAGGAAGAAAUGCACAACCUGUAUUUUUGGAACCCCUGAAUUAAAACAGUCAUGAACCCAGGAAGAUUUCUUAUUCCGUCACAGUUGCCCUGUAGAAAUUUACAUUCACGAAAAAUGUAUGAAGUGAUGGUAAACAAAGACAGGACUAUUUCUAAUUUCUACCAGCUGAUCAUAAAUGUAAAAAAGAAAUUAAAGUCAGAAUAAGUGAUGGGUAUUAGACAGUUAAUUUGUUUCCAGAAAAUAAUUGUAAGUGUGUGCAAUGUGUUUGCAAGUGACAAUGGUCCCUGUGUGCCUGUUGACAUAUGUGCGAGGCUCUGAAUAGGACCCGAUCAUUUACAAAACAUCAAAACUUCAUUAAUUUCGGCCCCGUGUAUCUGCACUUGUUUCAUGUCUUCAUCUUCGUGUUUACUCUUGCCUUCAGGUGUGCGCAGCGCGGCCAUGCUGAGGUAGCAGCAGCCCGCACGUCAGAAUGUGUGACGGAGAAGAGGGACAGCUGAACGGGAGGCCGAAGGAGGUGGCGAUCUGUUACGUCAGUGACGAAGAUGGAGACAGCGAUGGCGACGAUGAGGAUGAGGGGACGCCUGACCAGUCCCACGGCGCCCCCUUCAGCUCCGAGAAUGAGGCUCAGGGAGGGGACCCCGCUGUGUGGCAGUGCACUCCUCCCCCAUCUACCUCACCUUCGGGGGACACGCCGGCCCACCCGCCCCUCUACCAGCCAGCGUCCAGACCCCGCUCCAGGCCGGCCAGCCAAAUGCCCUCCCCUCCCUCCGCCCUGUCGGGAACCAAGAAGAGAAGCUCCAAACCGGCGCACAUGAGACGCAACAUCAGGUACUGA
rnacentral:lncRNA from 1 species